rnacentral:rRNA from 1 species
GAUGACGUCAAGUCAUCAUGGCCCUUACGAGUAGGGCUACACACGUGCUACAAUGGCAGAUACAAAGUGAAGCGAACUCGCGAGAGCCAGCGGACCACAUAAAGUCUGUCGUAGUCCGGAUUGGAGUCUGCAACUCGACUCCAUGAAGUCGGAAUCGCUAGUAAUCGUAGAUCAGAAUGCUACGGUGAAUACGUUCCCGGGCCUUGUACACACCGCCCGUCACACCAUGGGAGUGGGUUGCAAAAGAAGUAGGUAGCUUAACCUUCGGGAGGGCGCUUACCACUUUGUGAUUCAUGACUGGGGUGAAGUCGUAACAAGGUAACCGUAGGGGAACCUGCGGUUGGAUCACCUCCUUACCU